UUCAGGGUUGUGUGUGGCAAAACAUGUCCCUCUGUGUAUGCGUCCUGCUGCGUAAAUAGCAUGGGUCAAUGGCUAGUCCAGUGGCAGGGCUGUUGUUCCCUACUCUCGAUAUUGCCACAGUAGCGUUGUGGUAUUUAGACCUAACGGACAGGCUGAGGAAUGGAAGGAGAAUGCCUGUUUUCUGUAAGGGCUCGGAAUGCCGACCCUUUUCUCUGCCUGCCGCUCCCCUGUGCGUGAGAUGAAGCUGUUUUAUUUUUCUCCCUUGUUCCUGGUCUAAAUAUUUCUGAAGCUGUUGCUGCUGUGGGUUUGCAAUUUGUGUUACUGCAUUUUUGUAGCAUUCUAGGUAUGGGUCAUUUCUGCUGUGGUGAAGUGUCGAGAUACGGUUUUCGGUUUAAAGCAUCAGAAACUACAUUCACUGAAACCGGUAACUCACGGCGUAGGUGAAACCGAUGUGGCGUGUGCAGCUGUGCUCGCAGGGAUGCUCAGUGGCUCCUCAUCAAAACGGCAAGGUGGAUGUCAGCUGCCACCAUUUCACUGCGGUUGCCCUUUCUUCUGCCAUGAAAGUACAAGACACAUGGAAAGAUUCUAUAGUGGUCUGUGAGUACAAGGUUUUCCCAAGAAGCAUUAGCAGCCUUGUAACUAGUGACAGUGAGUCCUGAGGUGGUUUUGGUGAGUUACUGCUUCAAUAAUGUAUUUUUAUUGGAUGUAUAUAAACAUGGGCACACCUUUUUAGUAUAAAGU